CUGGCGUCCCCUCUCCCCGCCCUCUCGGGCGUUGCUCUCUCCUCCUCUCCCCUGGCUCCCGCACUCCCUCUUUCCCGGCGUCGCUGGAACGUUCAGCGGCCCGUGAUGAAUGAUCGCCUGUCACGGCUUGUUUAUUAUAACGCGGGCAAUCAAUUACACAUCCCCAACGCUGGCCGGCCCGCGGGAAAUUGAUAUGCUCAGCACAAUCCAAUGUGAAAAUGGGAACUCAUUUGCCAAAUGUCUUUCUCAGGGUUCAGUGGCAUGAUUACAGUGUGUUUCUUCCAACAGGAUGGUGGGACUGACAGCGGUAUCACUUACUGCCUGGCUCACGCCACCCCUCCUCUAAGGCGUUAUUUAUUGUGUGACAGAGGCCAGCGCAGGCAGAGGACAGAGGUUUCUGUCCUGGAAAACGGGUGGGCAGGGCCACGUUUCCUCUUCGAGUUUUUGCAAGCUCAGGCCCUGGGUUCUGCCUCCAGGCUACUUUCGGCAGCACCUAUCUGCCCAGUCACCCUGGGGCCACCCCGAGGACAAAGCUCUGUCCAGUAGGAGCUCUGCAGACUCAGGAAUCAGGCAAUUCUGUCUGCUGCUGAUUUUGAGUCCUUCGAGACCGGCUCUGCCUAUCUGCAAAAUGGGAGUUCGAUGUCCCUGGCAAUAUCGAAGUCAGGGAUCUGAGGAGGUGUCAAUGGCACAGAUUGGAACCCAUGUCUCUGUCCUCAGCCUCCGUGACACUGUAGCCUGAAGAUUGUUUCUCUUCCUGGUGAGAUUUCACUCUCCUCUGCACGCUAAGAAGAUAUGAUAGCCCUAGCUUUGCUUAUGUCUCUAACCCUUUUCAUGCCCCUUGUCAGUUGUUGCAUCAACAGCUACAGUGGCAAUACCGAGCCUCAUUCCUAGCCUGGCCUAGACCCUCCGCUGUCAUGCAUCACUAACUGACUAAUAGACCUUACUCCUUGGCUGAGUCUGCAUCCUGCUGGUGCCAGCUUCCCUAUAUGAGAGAGAAGCAAGAGACAGCACUUUGGGACUCCGGGGGAACAGCCCACGUCUGCUGCACAUCGACCGUUGAGCUCUGAGGAGAGCUGGCAGACAAUGGGAAAUGAAACAUUUGAGUGGUUGGGAAAUAUUAGGUGGGAAAUCCCCCUCCCCCGUGUAUUCUGUGCAACAGCUGUAACAAGGAAGGUGGGGGAUUUCAGUUCCCAGUGCUCCUGAGUAGACCAAUGGCAGCUAGAAUGUUCUCCCAGGGAAGACAUGGCCUCAUAUAUGAAGUUGGCCAGGAAGCCAGAUGCUUGCUCAAGACCUCUGGACCACACACACACACACACACACACACACACACACACACACGUACACACACACAAACACACUCCUCCUACAGGUUUUCUGUGGCCUUGACAGAAUGGAGACUUGUAUGACCUCGUGCUCCCUUCUGACCCAGUCUCCUUGGUAGGACUUUUGUGACCACAGCCACCUUCAUCUCCCCUGAAUGUAACGGUAAACUCCAAAGCAGAGGCUCUGCUUGUGAUGCCCCUGGUGUUUCUGGUUAGCCUGUGGCUUCCUUCCACUUUCUCCACUCCUGCUGGUAACAGACAUUUGUCUGUCACACUCUUCCUCUUUUGUACAAUAAAGUGGGACUGACACUAA